rnacentral:rRNA from 1 species
CGGCGGAUGGGUGAGUAACACGUGGGUAACCUACCUACAAGCUUGGGAUAACUCGUGGAAACGCGAACUAAUACCAAAUGCGAUCUUUUACCUCCUGGUAAAAGAUUAAAAGACGGUUUCGGCUGUCACUUGUAGACGGGCCCGUGGCGCAUUAGCUAGUUGGUGAGAUAAAAGCUUACCAAGGCAACGAUGCGUAGCCGACCUGAGAGGGUGAUCGGCCACACUGGGACUGAGACACGGCCCAGACUCCUACGGGAGGCAGCAGUAGGGAAUCUUCCGCAAUGGACGAAAGUCUGACGGAGCGACGCCGCGUGAAUGAUGAAGGUCUUCGGAUCGUAAAAUUCUGUUGUUAGGGAUGAACAAGUGUGAGCGUAACUACUCACACCUUGACAGUACUUAACCAGAAAGCCCCGGCUAACUACGUGCCAGCAGCCGCGGUAAUACGUAGGGGGCGAGCGUUGUCCGGAAUUAUUGGGCGUAAA